CCUACGGGGCGCAGCAGUGAGGAAUAUUGGUCAAUGGACGAGAGUCUGAACCAGCCAAGUAGCGUGAAGGAUGACUGCCCUAUGGGUUGUAAACUUCUUUUAUAUGGGAAUAAAAUGUUCCACGUGUGGGAUUUUGUAUGUACCAUAUGAAUAAGGAUCGGCUAACUCCGUGCCAGCAGCCGCGGUAAUACGGAGGAUCCGAGCGUUAUCCGGAUUUAUUGGGUUUAAAGGGAGCGUAGGUGGAUUGUUAAGUCAGUUGUGAAAGUUUGCGGCUCAACCGUAAAAUUGCAGUUGAAACUGGCAGUCUUGAGUACAGGAGAGGUGGGCGGAAUUCGUGGUGUAGCGGUGAAAUGCUUAGAUAUCACGAAGAACUCCGAUUGCGAAGGCAGUUCACUGGACUGCAACUGACACUGAGGCUCGAAAGUGUGGGUAUCAAACAGGAUUAGAUACCCCUGUAGUC
rnacentral:rRNA from 1 species